rnacentral:rRNA from 1 species
AUAUUAUUAAGCGGAGGAAAAGAAACUAACAAGGAUUCCCCUAGUAACGGCGAGUGAAGCGGGAAGAGCUCAAAAUGAAAAUCUCGUGCCUUAGCAGGUACGCGAGUUGUAAUCUAAAGACGUAACGUCAGCGUGUGACCCGGGUAUAACUCUUUUGAAAAAAGGGAUCAUAGAGGGUGACAAUCCCGUCCGUGACCCGGAGUUCGCCGCGUACGACGUGCGUUCAAAGAGUCGAGUAGCUUGGGAUGCUGCUCAAAAUGGGUGGUAAACCUCAUCUAAAGCUAAAUACCGGCCAGAGACCGAUAGCGCACAAGUA